GGGACGAAGUCUGAUGGAGCACGCCGCGUGAGCGAUGAAGGCCUUCGGGUCGUAAAGCUCUGUUGUUAGGGAAGAACAAGUACCGGAGUAACUGCCGGUACCUUGACGGUACCUAACCAGAAAGCCACGGCUAACUACGUGCCAGCAGCCGCGGUAAUACGUAGGUGGCAAGCGUUGUCCGGAAUUAUUGGGCGUAAAGCGCGCGCAGGCGGUCCUUUAAGUCUGAUGUGAAAGCCCACGGCUCAACCGUGGAGGGUCAUUGGAAACUGGGGGACUUGAGUGCAGAAGAGGAAAGCGGAAUUCCACGUGUAGCGGUGAAAUGCGUAGAGAUGUGGAGGAACACCAGUGGCGAAGGCGGCUUUCUGGUCUGUAACUGACGCUGAGGCGCGAAAGCGUGGGGAGCAAACAGGAUUAGAUACCCUGGUAGUCCACGCCGUAAACGAUGAGUGCUAAGUGUUAGAGGGUUUCCGCCCUUUAGUGCUGCAGCUAACGCAUUAAGCACUCCGCCUGGGGAGUACGGCCGCAAGGCUGAAACUCAAAGGAAA
rnacentral:rRNA from 2 species